GGAGUUCGAAGGGUAUGAUGAAGAUGUGGGUCCCAUUACCAUCUGUUGCGGUUGUUGUACCUGUAAUCCCCCUGCCGCCGGACCUUGUACUUCUCUCGACUCCAUCCUCUCUCUCUCUCUCUCUCUCUCUCUCUCUCNCACCUACUCUCUCUCUCUCUCUCUCUCUCUCUCUCUCUCUCUUUUCUAAACUAAAAUUCUUUAUUUUUCUUCCAAAGAAAAUGGGAAACGGAAGAAUCGAAAAAGAAGUGUAAUGCGAAGCAAGUUCUAAAUAGUUUGUGUGAGUUAUCUACUUUGAGAACUGGGGAACUGGAAGGAACUCAAAAGGAAGAGUACAAAUAAAAUUAAAAAACUGGGGAAUGAAUGCCGGAAAAUAAGCCCAUUUAGUU
rnacentral:lncRNA from 1 species